ACCCUUCGGGCGGAGCUUGCCCGUCUAACGCCCUCGAUGCGGCUAUAUCUCCCACGUGUUGAAGCACGACUUAGAGGCAUAACCGCAUUGAAAGCAAUGUCGCAAGUGAGGUAAUCUUCACACAACCCAUGUAAUACAAUAGUGGAAAAAGAUACAUAGUUGGCUUACAAUCGCCACUUCACACAAAUACAUGAAUAAAGCAUUACAUCAACCAGAUACAAUCAAGGUCCGACUACGGAACCAAAAUAAAAGAAGACUACCCCAAAAGCUACACAGAUCCCCGAUCGUCCCAACUGGGCUCCACUACUAAUCAACUAGAACGAAACAACUCAAAGGACAAGAUCUUCAUCGAGCUCCUCCUUGAGCUUGGUUGCGUCAUCUGCACGGUAUCCUCAGCACCUGCAAGCUGGUUUUGGAAGUAUCUGUGAGCCACGGGGACUCAGCAAUCUCACACCCUCGCGAUCAAGACUAUUUAAGCUUAUAGGAAGGGUAAAAGGUAUGAGGUGGAACUGCAGCAACAACUAGCAUAUUUGGUGGCUAACAUACGCAAAUGAGAGCGAGAAGAGAAGGCAGGGCACGGUCGUUAAAACUAUGAUCAAGAAGUGAUCCUAGAACAACCUACGUCAAGCAUUACUCCAACACCGUGUUCACUUUCCGGACUCCGCCGGAAAGAGACCAUCACGGUUACACACGCGGUUGAUGUGUUUUAAUUAAGAUCAUCUUCAGGUUUUCUACAACCGGACAUUAACAAAUUCCCAUCUACCCAUAACUGCGGGCACGGCUUUCGAAAGUUCAAAUCCCUGCAGGGGUGUCCCAACUUAGCCAUGACAAGCUCUCACGAUCAACGAAGGAAUAGACCUCCUCUCGAGACAUUCCGAUCAGACUCGGUAUCCCGGUUCUACAAGACAUCCCCGACAAUGGUAAAACAAGUCCAGCAAAACCACCUGAUGUGCCGACAUCCCGAUAGGAGCUGCACAUAUCUCGUUCUCAGGGCACACCGGAUAAGCUAAGCGUACGGGAGCCAACGUAACCCAAGUUGCCAAGGGACGGCCCCGCACGGUGCUCUGGGUUGGACCAACACUUAGACAAGCACUGGCCCCGGGGGNNNNNNNNNNNNNNNNNNNNNNNNNNNNNNNNNNNNNNNNNNNNNNNNNNNNNNNNNNNNNNNNNNNNNNNNNNNNNNNNNNNNNNNNNNNNNNNNNNNNNNNNNNNNNNNNNNNNNNNNNNNNNNNNNNNNNNNNNCUUGGGCUGGCCUAACCCAAGGGAAAAAGAGGCUAGGUGGCGAAUGGUAAAACCAAGGUUGGGCCUUGCUGGAGGAGUUUUAUUCAAAGCGAUCUGUCAAGGGGUUCCCAUUAUAACCCAACCACGUAAGGAACGCAAAAUCCGGGAACAUAACACCGAUAUGACGGAAACUAGGGCGGCAAGAGUGGAACGAAACACUAGGCAUAAGGCCGAGCCUUCCACCCUUUACCAAGUAUAUAGAUGCAUUAAUUAAAUAAGAGAUAUUGUGAUAUCCCAACAAGUAAACAUGUUCCAACAAGGAACAACAUCUCCAUGUUCCAACAAGGAACAAACUUCAAUCUUCACCUGCAACUAACAACGCUAUAAGAGGGGCUGAGCAAAGUGGUAACAUAGCCAAACAACGGUUUGCUAGGACAAGGUGGGUUAGAGGCUUGGUUCAACAAUAUAGGAGGCAUGAUAAGCAAGUGGUAGGUAUCGCAGCAUAGGCAUAGCAAAAGAGCGAGCAACUAGCAAGCAAAGAUAGAAGUGAUUUCGAGGGUAUGGUCAUCUUGCCUGAAAUCCCGCAAGGAAGAAGAAUGAGUCCCUUAAGAAGACAAACUGACGUAGUCGAACGAAUCCUCACAACACGACGUUACCGGAUUACCGAGACGAAGUACACCGGAAAGAAAGCAAACAACAUAGUAAACAACCACCACAUAACAUGGCAUGAAGCACAAUCAAGUAUGAUGCAUGUCCGGUUUAAUGAAGCAUGGCAUGGCAAAAUGCACAAACAAUCCUACAAAUUAAGUGGAGCUCAACAUGCAACGCCGUUGCAUAUUGACGAAACACCACAAUCGAGUUAUUUAGUUCGAUCUCGUUUAUGUACCCAACAAUAUUAAAUGUUGUUAAACAUGGCAAGAGGGUGAAGCAAAGUAAAACUACCUAUCUAGUCAAGUUUAAAUGAGGCUGGAAACAACGAACAACAAAUCCAGAAAAAUCCUCAUAUGCAUAUAUUAGGUUUGGUACUGUUCUGCCCUAAACCAUAUUUUAUAGUUAUUAAACAUGCAAAGUAAGGUCACCAUGUUAAACUAGGUAAAAUUCUACCCCAUUUACAUAUAAAGAUUAUUAAAUUCCGAGUUAUGGUUAUUUAGUUAUGAAUAAAGCAUUUUAGCAAGUUAUUUAAGAAAAUUUAAACAAACAACAUUUUAAACAUUUUAAACAUGGAUGAAAAAGACAUAUUAUGAAACUAUAUGAAAAACUAAGCAAGUUUCAUAUACAAAGUUUUUACAUGUGAUGCUUAGUUUGUGAGAUAUUAAAUGCAUGAAGGCUAGGGGGCUUUCUAUAAAUCUGCAAAACCCUGGAAAUUAGCUAAAUUCAUAGAACCAAAAAAACAUCCACUGGGCCAAAACUGAACUGGCCCAGCAGUAAGAGAAAAAAAAGGAGGGGCGCUUGGGGUGGCCUCACCCAUGGGCUUCGGCCCAGUUCGAGAAAGAGGCAGGCUGGUGGAGUGGCUAGGCCUCAGUGCCUUGUUGGGCCGCUAUGAGGCACAAGGUGAGGCCGACCCAGGCAGUCAAUCGGGAAGCAGCGGUGGCUGGUCAACGCGCAGGGGCGCGCUCGCUGCAGAAGAACAGGGGCGCGGCGCACACGACAACGACGGCGGCGAUGCUCCAGCUUGGCUCGGGGCAGCAGGGAGUGGAGUGGCGGCAGGCUGGGGAGGUCCGGUCGCGGAGACGCAUCGGUGAUGCGAACGAGGCAAAGGUCUCCGGCGGCGGAGAAGUCCCACGCGGCGACGCUGGCCUCUGCAAAACGGCGGCGGUGCGACAACUCAGAGAGAGAGAAGAAAUGGAGAAAGAAAAAGGAGGCAUGGCGACGCGGGGACGGAGGUUCAGACGAAGCACGAGCAACAGCGGCAAUGCUUGAGCUCGAGACGAAGACUCCCUGCUCGUCGGAACCGAAGAAGACAUCGGCGACAGGAAGCGCCAGACUGCAGGGCGUCAAGAGGAAUUGUUCCGGCAGGUGACGCUUGCUGGAGGUAACCGGGCGCAGCAGGAUGACGGCGGCGAUGCUGUGGAGCUUGGGCGAGUACCUGCCUGUUCCUGGGAAGGAGAGAGAGAGGGUCACCAUGAGAGAGGGAGAGGGAAAAAAUCAGGAGGAGAGGAGUGGGACGAGGCCGGUCCUAGUCAUGGCUACCGGCGGCGAGGUCGCUGGAGGGCGCACCCUGCAGGGUCAGUGAGGCUCGGGCGCAAGGGCCCCUGCUCCGAUGUUGCGGCUGGUUGGAUCGAGGAAGGAGGAGGGCGAUGGGGCCUGGCAGGGGUGUCCCCGGCGACGUUCUCUAGAGGCGGCAGGGUCGCGAGCUCGAUCUCGCUCGAUCUGGAAAACGAGGAGGUGGCGUCUUCGGUUGGUUGAACUGGCUGGAUGGAUCGGGGGGGAGCUGGUUGAUCCGGUGAAGACAACGAGGGGGAAUUUUUGGAUCGGGGAGGAUCCCGAGGGAGUGGCGGCGGCGCUAGGUAGGAUGGGACAAGGUACCUGAUUUUUAGGGUUGGACCUUGUGUAUUUAUAUGGCAGGUGGAUUAAGUUAGGGCUAUCCGGUCCCUAUGAUCGUAAUCGGACGGUCGCGAAUAACUCUAUUAGGAAGUCCAAUUAACAAAACAGAGACGUUUUGUAGAUGUUUGGGGAUGAUCCGAACACAACGGUGACGACUGCUCGGGUCGGGUCCGGGACAACUUUUCGGACGCGCGCGCGAGGAGGGCCGCGGGCUGACGAGAGAGGUUAGGUUGGACCUGGCGGUAGGUAGUGGGCUAUGUAGAUGGUCUCGAACUAAGAGAAAAGAAGAGAGGGAGGCCCGGCGACUGUUUCCGGAGACCGAAAACGUCCGACGUUAGACCGGCUACUAUUGCCGCUAUAUUUAUCCAUUGGGGCGUCAAACGGACUCCGAAUGCGAUGAAACUUGACAAGCGGUCUAUCUACACUAUAAUAAGACCACACGUCAACUCUCAUCCCAUUCCGAGAACAUUUUCCUGCCACUUAUAAAAAAUAUUUCAAACAUGCCGCGGGCACGUGCAAGUGUGUCUCGACUCAGAACGGACAAUGGACGGAACGAGGAGACCUCGACGGAUGCAAGUUUUGAAAACAUGAUGAUGCAAUGCACAUGAUGACAUGAUAAGAUGCAACACGCAAGCAAAUGACAAGCCAACAACAGCAAAUAAGCAGAGGACACCUAGCACAUCGGUCUCGGGGCAUUACAACACUCCACCACUACGAGAGGAUCUCGUCCCGAGAUCUAGGAUGGCACCGGAGGGACAACAGAAGAGAAAGAGGAGAGGUAAAGCUAAGUUGCUUCUUUGACAAACGAGUGAAACCAAAGAACCUUGAAGAGGUUAAGCCAUUCCGAAAAAGAAUACAACAGAGAUAAAUGAAGUUGAAAGCACUACGUUAGCAAAGAGGAAACAAGGAAGAACAACUUUGGGCAGCACUCCGGUUGAAAAGUGGUACAAGACUUGAUAAAAUGAAAGAGCUUGAGCAAAGGGGCACAACACUCCUGUUAAAUGGGUGGGAAUGAAAAGAAUAUGAUCUUGUCAAAAUGAGGUGAUGGAACGGAAGGAGCAACACACAAUGCCUCCGGAACGAAAAGAAUAGAAGAUUGAAAUACAAGAAUGGAGAAGAAAAUGCCAACUUCUGUCCCAAAAGAGCUUGAAAAGGCAUCUUUAGGAGAAGGGUCGAACGGAGUUGUUGGGAAAACCAACAACAAAGAGAGUAAGCUUGUAAUGGGCUUAUGGAGAACAACUCAAAACUAUGAGGUGAAAUUCUGCCACUCACGAAAAAAAAGAAUUGGAUUGAUAUGAACAAGAAGACGAGAAAACUUGUUCACCGGAAGGAUACAAGAAGAAAUUGGGUCAUUUAUAAGCACCAUAGAUAGCAAGAAUCCUUAGGGAAGGCUUUAGGUGAAAUAUAACCCCAGAUAACUCCAAUGACGAGAUGAUGGAUUUAAAAUAUCCCAUUCUUAACAACAUGGGAAUCAUGAGACAUGAACUCAAAUUAUCAAGAAUGACAUAAUACCACCUCGAAUGGUACAGUUGAAAGAAUUGCACUCCAGAUUGCAAGAUGAAGAAUGCUUGAGCUCCUCUGAAAAUAAUCUUGAUGGACACUUCGAGAAGGAAUUAUGUCCUUGAUGAACCAACAUGUAGAGCCUCCCUGAAGAACUCCGGUAAACAAAAGAAUGAUCAAACGGAAGGAAAGGGAAGUUGAAAACACAAGGUGAAUCCUUGCAAUGAUUUGAUGGAUCUUUGGAAUGAUAAUUCAAAUAGCUUUAGGCUCCGGAAAAGAAAGAUGGACAACUUGAAUCGAGAAUUUGAUGAACCUCCGGAAUAAGGAAUUAAUCACUUGAGUGAGGCAAAAGUAAGAAUUGUGUUAUGCGUAUCCUUCACCAAUUAAAUUGAUGACAAACAAUGGAUUUGGCAUACUACUUACUCUCUUAGAAAGGAUUUAGAGAGAUAUGGCGCAAACUUGAGAAAGGUCUUCAACGAACCACCGAUCGGGAUUGGAAAGAACGAAUGAAUUGAUAUGAUAGCCAUGGAAGAGAGAUCUUGCACGAACCACCGUAAGAAUUGAAAAGGAACGAAGAAAAGAUAAAGAAACACCGGGAAGAAUUAUAAAAUGAACAGAGAUUGAGAGGAUUUAGAAAAAUGAGAACGAAGAGAUCACGAGCCAAUUAAAGAUCACUAGAACGAAGGACCGGUAAAAAUAGGAGAAUGAUAACUGACAGCUGAGAAUGAAUAAACCUGAAUUGAUGGACUCCGGAUAACAAAUUGAGAAGACUCUUGAAUUGCUCCGGAUAGGUGAAAAGAAUACUCACGAUCAAAACAAUUAUGAGAGGAUGGUCUCGAACUAGAACCACGAAUCUCUGAGAGAACGGAUAAGAUAUGGAGGAAAAACUCUUCUUCGGUCUUCAAAUGUUGAGAAUGACGACGAGCAACACCACCAAGAAUUAUUUAGACACUCUGGAAGAAUCAAAACGAAGAGGUUGAGUCAAUGAUGAAAAGAAUUGUGAAAGAUCUAGGAGAAGGCAUUAGACUGAUGUUAACUCAUUCUUACGUCAAACUUUAAAAAGAAUUUAGGAUAGCUCCAGGAAAAUAGAAGAGUCAGGUAAGAUCCUGGGAAAAGACAUGUGGGUUAGGGCCCACUAAAAAGAUACACCGCUGAACGAUUGCUUGGAAGAGAGAUUUGUACCAGUUAAAUAAAAUGACUUGAAUGAGAUAACAACCUCGAAAUAACUUGAAUGGAUCGAGAAUGUAACCGUGAGUCUUCUGAGAUAUCUUCAGCACUUCAGAACAAUUGAAUAACGAGAAGUGAAUGAUAAAGAGGUGCACCGGCAUGAGAAGGUAUUUGAAACAAGGAAAAGGGAUAUGAGAUCAACACCGAAAGCUUGAUUUGAAUCCACCGGAGAAGAAAAUGAGUGAAGAGUGACGAACUUGAAGCUCCGUUAGAAUCUUCAUGAGAAUCACCAGGAAAGAACAUGAAGGAAAAGAAUGGAGAGACUUCACAUGAAUAAAAAGAUACUUGAUUAAGAAAUCUUAGUCCUUGAAGAAACAAGGGUGGGAGGGUGGGAAAACACCGUUGAGAAUGAAACGAACACCAUUGAGACGAAAUGAUAAUUGAUCUUGCUGAUGUAGAAAUGAUCGGAUCCACUUGAAGAGAAACACGCAGGUGAAAAGGAUUGAUAAGACAAUCUUGAUGAUCAAGAAGGAUUGGUAUCCACAUAGGAGUAUGAGAAUACCAUUUGGGGAAGGUAUGGAAUCACCACUUGACAUCGAAGCAACUCGAAUACCACAACUCAAAAACAAAAACAAAGGAUUGGCUCGCAGAAUAAGUUGGAACAAACAUAUGAUAGAGAUUUCGUCCGAAGUUUUCGUGGUGGGGCCUACAUGGGCUCGAUCGUACAGCACCAUCAUGUACAAGGCAGUGCACAUGACAUACGAAGCGUCCCCGAGUCGGCAUAGCCAAGGACUCUUUAAGACACAAUGAGACCACUGUAAAACCAACCGUGAAUAGGCGGACCACUAGACGUCGAACCCCAAUUUCAUAUCAUAGAUCUGUCGAAAGAUAUCCUAAGAGCUACUUGAAUUCCCACUUAUAAACUCCCGAACCUUUCUGGUUAUGCAAUUAGGUGUUGGGGAUACAGGGGAAGCAUAAUAUCUCACCCAAAACUAACAAAUCCUACAUCCAGCUGUAUCCAUCCUUCAACACAUAACCAAGAAACCUUUGGAAAUCGUCUACCUCAACCUUCGAAAAGCAUCCGUUAUACAAGUUAUGGCAAUACUCCCGAACUCCCGCCCCAGUACUGGGUGGCGUCGAGGUUAUCUCACCAACAACUGCAUAAAAGAGAUUUUCGAUGUCGGCGAAACUAAACUCAGGUAUUCCAGAACUGCAACGAUAAAAUUGUGACGACAACACCUCGGAGCUCAACUCCCCGGGACACUGACACAACCCCUAAAGACAGGAGGCACCAAGAACAAUGUUCUAGUCACAAAACCAUCAGAACGAUUCCAAGAUACCCGCGUGAUCCUAAAUUUUUUUAGUGAAAUUUGAGAAGAGAAGAGUCAAAACUCUACGUCAGGAUGCCUUACCAGAGCGAUGAAGGGACUGGGGAGUAAAAAGAAUUCCUAACUCUCUAAUAUAUAUAGUUCCUAAAUGACUCAAAACAUUUUUCUAGACUCAACAACGGCUGCUAAAAAUGAUCAAUCAGUGGGGGCUCCUAAGGCCGGGGAAGGCUCUGAUUACCAACUUCUAACGCCCUCGAUGCGGCUAUAUCUCCCACGUGUCGAAGCACGACUUAGAGGCAUAACCGCAUUGAAAGAAAUGUCGCAAGUGAGGUAAUCUUCACACAACCCAUGUAAUACAAUAGGGGAAAAAGAUACAUAGUUGGAUUACAAUUGCCACUUCACACAAAUACAUGAAUAAAGCAUUACAUCAACCAGAUACAAUCAAGGUCCGACUACGGAACCAAAAUAAAAGAAGACUACCCCAAAAGCUACACAGAUCCCCGAUCGUCCCAACUGGGCUCCACUACUGAUCAACUAGAACGAAACAACACAAAGGACAAGAUCUUCAUCGAGCUCCUCCUUGAGCUUGGUUGCGUCAUCUGCACGGUAUCCUCGGCACCUGCAAGCUGGUUUUGGAAGUAUCUGUGAGCCACGGGGACUCAGCAAUCUCACACCCUCGCGAUCAAGACUAUUUAAGCUUAUAGGAAGGGUAAAAGGUAUGAGGUGGAGCUGCAGCAGCGACUAGCAUAUUUGGUGGCUAACAUACGCAAAUGAGAGCGAGAAGAGAAGGCAAGGCACGGUCAUUAAAACUAUGAUCAAGAAGUGAUCCUAGAACAACCUACGUCAAGCAUUACUCCAACACCGUGUUCACUUCCCGGACUCCGCCGGAAAGAGACCAUCACGGUUACACACGCGGUUGAUGUGUUUUAAUUAAGAUCAUCUUCAGGUUUUCUACAACCGGACAUUAACAAAUUCUCAUCUGCCCAUAACCACGGGCACGUCUUUCGAAAGUUCAAAUCCCUGCAGGGGUGUCCCAACUUAGCCCAUGACAAGCUCUCACGGUCAACGAAGGAAUAGACCUCCUCCCGAGACAUUCCGAUCAGACUCGAUAUCCCGGUUCUACAAGACAUCCUCGACAAUGGUAAAACAAGUCCAGCAAAACCACCCGAUGCGCCGACAUCCCGAUAGGAGCUGCACAUAUCUCGUUCUUAGGGCACACCGGAUAAACUAAGCGUACAGGAGCCAACGUAACCCAAGUUGCCAAGGGACGGCCCCGCACGGUGCUCUGGGUUGGACCAACACUUAGACAAGCACUGGCCCCGGGGGGGGGGGGGUUAAAAUAAGAUGACCCUUGGGCUGGCCUAACCCAAGGGAAAAAGAGGCUAGGUGGCGAAUGGUAAAACCAAGGUUGGGCCUUGCUGGAGGAGUUUUAUUCAAAGCGAUCUGUCAAGGGGUUCCCAUUAUAACCCAACCACGUAAGGAACGCAAAAUCCGGGAACAUAACACCGAUAUGACGGAAACUAGGGCGGCAAGAGUGGAACAAAACACUAGGCAUAAGGCCGAGCCUUCCACCCUUUACCAAGUAUAUAGAUGCAUUAAUUAAAUAAGAGAUAUUGUGAUAUCCCAACAAGUAAACAUGUUCCAACAAGGAACAACAUCUCCAUGUUCCAACAAGGAACAAACUUCAAUCUUCACCUGCAACUAACAACGCUAUAAGAGGGGCUGAGCAAAGUGGUAACAUAGCCAAACAACGGUUUGCUAGGACAAGGUGGGUUAGAGGCUUGGUUCAACAAUAUAGGAGGCAUGAUAAGCAAGUGGUAGGUAUCGCAGCAUAGGCAUAGCAAAAGAGCGAGCAACUAGCAAGCAAAGAUAGAAGUGAUUUCGAGGGUAUGGUCAUCUUGCCUGAAAUCCCGCAAGGAAGAAGAACGAGUCCCUUAAGAAGACAAACUGACGUAGUCGAACGAAUCCUCACAACACGACGUUACCGGAUUACCGAGACGAAGUACACCGGAAAGAAAGCAAACAACAUAGUAAACAACCACCACAUAACAUGGCAUGAAGCACAAUCAAGUAUGAUGCAUGUCCGGUUUAAUGAAGCAUGGCAUGGCAAAAUGCACAAACAAUCCUACAAAUUAAGUGGAGCUCAACAUGCAACGCCGUUGCAUAUUGAUGAAACACCACAUUCGAGUUAUUUAGUUCGAUCUCGUUUAUGUACCCAACAAUAUUAAAUGUUGUUAAACAUGGCAAGAGGGUG
rnacentral:lncRNA from 1 species